UGGGGGGGCAGAGGAGGCGUCUGCUGAGUUCACGGCCCUGCUGCUGCUGAUGAUGAGGAGAGGCACUGCCAGAUUGUGGCUGAUGGGAUGAGUUACAUUUAGUUGUUUGUGUCUCUGGAGGGGCGGAUUUGUUGUCGUGGCAGAAAUGGCCUCGACUAGAGGCCGCGAUGUGGAGUGUUUGGUCUACUCUUCCACGCUGGGCGUGCCCGCACUUUACCCCGAUACACACGCGGGGCGUGAGCUCACUGGGCUUGCAAUGCAGAGGUGCAGCACAACAACAAGAAGCAGGAGGAGGAUGGUUUGUCUCCCAAGCCGAGCACUUCCGGGUCCACCUUCAUGAUCCUCCCUCUGCCCCGGGGGUGGGGGCGGGGAGAUCCCCUCGCACAGGGUUACGCUGCUACUUCCGUUGAGGCCGGGGCGAGUGGAGGCGGCGCUGUGCAUUGUGGGUGGCGAGAGGCUGAUUUGGAUUCCCGCUCACGGCCACCGUCGGUGGCUCGUGGCGGCUCGCUGGCUGGGCCUCCUCUACGUCGACUCAGCCAGAAGAAGGUCGUGGGUUCGAUCCCUACCCUCACACCUGUAUAUUUCGAGUUUGCAUGUCUCUCUCUCUCCCCGUGGUCGCGUUCAGAGUGUUUGGUUUCUAUAAAUGUCGUCGUGAUGAUAGGCCACUUCGUUGACCUAUCAUUUGUGGCAUUUUCCCUUCUGAAGAAGAGCUGUGUCGCUCGAUGGGCAUUACCUGGAAAAAUUGAAAUA